AUUUACCUCCACUGCAGAUUGUUAUGCUUAUUGUUGGGACCGGGGAGAUGUUCAACCCUUUGUUGCUAUAGGAAAACGGUUACAGGACGGAGUCAUAGAUUUUAGAAUUGUUGUGGAGAGGAGCUUGACAUAUGAAGGCAAGAACAUAUUGGGUGCUAUUUAGCGAGGAAGGUGGGCAUAGGGUC